AUCCACAGCCCGCUUUAUGGAGGUCACCAACAUUGUUCUCUGGGGUUGAGUAAUUCUGGAGACUUCGGCUGAUUGAGAGUAGAAAAUGGUUUAUGAGGAGCAGCUGGGGGAACUGGGGUGGUCUAAUCUGGAGAAGGCUCAGAGGAGGCCUUAUCACUUCUAUAACCACCUGAAAGGAGGCUGCAGCCAGGAGGAGUCAGCCUCUUUUCUCAGGUAAUGGUGAUAGGACAAGUGGUAUGGCCUGAAGUUGUACCAGGGGAGGUUUACACUGGAUAUCAGGAAGAUAUACAGAAAUUCUGUAUAGAGUGGGUGGUCAAGUCUUGGAGUGUUCUGUCGAGGGAAGUGAAGGAGGUUCCAUCUCUGGAGGUUUGGCUGUGGAUUCAGCUCUCAGAAGAAAGGCUGUCUGCAGGAGUCCUGGCGUCCCUUGGCAGCAUUGACAGUGAGACCCUCCCCCACUCUGCUUUCUACAGUGCUCAACAAGGUGAAGUGGAAGGUGUACACAUGUCAGAUGGCUCCCAGAAGUCUCCCACACUGCUAUAUGAAUUCUUACACUCAGAAGCAACAUCUGAGGAAAUGAGCUUGGGAAACCUGAGAAAGGAAUGAAGGAGUCAUUAGUUUUGCCCAUCUGGCAGCAGAACAGCUGGUCCUGCUGAGUCUGGAGAUUCCUUCCUGAUGUCUCUCCUGCUCAGUGUUACGCAGCUCAGCAGAAUCUUGAGGGUCUGUAUGGGAACUGUUGAAUCACGGCCUGAACCUCUGAUUGACCACCUGAGGCAAGUACUGAGUCAGCC
rnacentral:lncRNA from 1 species